rnacentral:tRNA from 1 species
GCCCUGUUCGUAUAACGGAUAAUACGAUGCUCUUCUAAAGCAUCUAUGGGGGUUCGAUUCCCUCACAGGGUACUA